rnacentral:ncRNA from 1 species
GUGUGUAUAUACAACCCCAACUCAUAACAAGGAUUUUCUUACUAGCGGCGAGCGAAAAGAAAAUAGUUCAGCACUAAGUCACUUUGUCUUUAUGGCAAAUGUGAGAUGCAGUGUAUGGAGCAUCAGUAUUCUAGUAUAAGAAAUUAACGAUUUAAGUCGUUCUUAAAUGACGCCAUUUACCCAUAGAGGGUGCCAGGCCCGUAUAACGUUAAUGAUUACUAGAUGGUGUUUCCAAAGAGUCGUGUUGCUUGAUAGUGCAGCACUAAGUGGGUGGUAAACUCCAUCUAAAACUAAAUAUAACCAUGAGACCGAUAGUAAACAAGUACCGUGAGGGAAAGUUGAAAAGUGAAUAGAGAGUUAAAUAGUACGUGAAAAUGCUUAGAGGUUAAGCCCGAUGAACCUGAAUAUCCAUUAUGGAAAAUUCAUCAUUAGAGUUUUAAUAUAUUAAUAAUAUUAUAACAAUAGUGUGCAUUUUUUCCAUAUAAGGACAUUGUAAUUAAAAAUGAUUAAAAAGUAUAGCGCGAAGAGAA